UGCCAAGAGAAGUGCAUUUAGUGUGAAACACAUUUUUUCUCACCCAACUUUCAUCGUCGGCCACAUAUGACACUUGUAAACUACGUUGCAAUACAAUAGACAAACCAUGAUCAGCAUAAGUAAUCUCUUCCUCAUCAUCAUCGUAUUUUGGUUCGUUGUCAGUUUCAUCUUCUCCUCCAUCACUAUGAUCUUCAACCAAAGUUACAAUCCUCCUAUUUGGACAAUCUGAUGCGAUAUGCCCAAAACCAUGACAUUUGAAGUAUUUUCGGCCACUUGGGGUAGAAGAAUUAGGUGUUUUUUUGCUGCCAACAGAUUCUUCACCCUUUUCUUGCACCUUCGAUAUCACCUUGCUUUGGAUAGUAGGCUUGGAACUUCCUCCUUUUGUGUAGCCUUCUUUUGAGCUAUACCGAAAACUCUUUUCAAACUUCUGUUGCUUUUCAACUUUUAAUGCCAGCUUGCUCACAUCAUUUAAAGACCAAUAUGAUUAUAGCUGAACAACUUUAGCAAUCUCAUACUUCAGACCUCCCAAGUAUCUUGCAAUUGUUUGCUCUUCCGGUUCCACAAGUUCUCCUUUUAACAUCAAAUUAUCAAAU
rnacentral:lncRNA from 1 species